rnacentral:rRNA from 1 species
UACGUAGGGUGCGAGCGUUGUCCGGAAUUAUUGGGCGUAAAGAGCUCGUAGGCGGCUUGUCGCGUCGGAUGUGAAAGCCCGGGGCUUAACUCCGGGUCUGCAUUCGAUACGGGCAGGCUAGAGUUCGGUAGGGGAGAUCGGAAUUCCUGGUGUAGCGGUGAAAUGCGCAGAUAUCAGGAGGAACACCGGUGGCGAAGGCGGAUCUCUGGGCCGAUACUGACGCUGAGGAGCGGAAGCGUGGGGAGCGAACAGG